rnacentral:rRNA from 1 species
CCUACGGGUGGCAGCAGUCGAGAAUCAUUCACAAUGGGGGAAACCCUGAUGGUGCGACGCCGCGUGGGGGAAUGAAGGUCUUCGGAUUGUAAACCCCUGUCAUGUGGGAGCAAAUUAAAAAGAUAGUACCACAAUAGGAAGAGACGGCUAACUCUGUGCCAGCAGCCGCGGUAAUACAGAGGUCUCAAGCGUUGUUCGGAAUCACUGGGCGUAAAGCGUGCGUAGGCUGUUUCGUAAGUCGUGUGUGAAAGGCGCGGGCUCAACCCGCGGACGGCACAUGAUACUGCGAGACUAGAGUAAGGGAGGGGGAACCGGAAUUCUCGGUGUAGCAGUGAAAUGCGUAGAUAUCGAGAGGAACACUCGUGGCGAAGGCGGGUUCCUGGACAGUAACUGACGCUGAGGCACGAAGGCCAGGGGAGCGAAAGGGAUUAGAUACCCUUGUAGUC